rnacentral:rRNA from 2 species
AGCUCUUAUGAGUUAGCGGCGGACGGGUGAGUAACACGUGGGUAACCUGCCCAUAAGACUGGGAUAACUCCGGGAAACCGGGGCUAAUACCGGAUAACAUUUUGAACCGCAUGGUUCGAAAUUGAAAGGCGGCUUCGGCUGUCACUUAUGGAUGGACCCGCGUCGCAUUAGCUAGUUGGUGAGGUAACGGCUCACCAAGGCAACGAUGCGUAGCCGACCUGAGAGGGUGAUCGGCCACACUGGGACUGAGACACGGCCCAGACUCCUACGGGAGGCAGCAGUAGGGAAUCUUCCGCAAUGGACGAAAGUCUGACGGAGCAACGCCGCGUGAGUGAUGAAGGCUUUCGGGUCGUAAAACUCUGUUGUUAGGGAAGAACAAGUGCUAGUUGAAUAAGCUGGCACCUUGACGGUACCUAACCAGAAAGCCACGGCUAACUACGUGCCAGCAGCCGCGGUAAUACGUAGGUGGCAAGCGUUAUCCGGAAUUAUUGGGCGUAAAGCGCGCGCAGGUGGUUUCUUAAGUCUGAUGUGAAAGCCCACGGCUCAACCGUGGAGGGUCAUUGGAAACUGGGAGACUUGAGUGCAGAAGAGGAAAGUGGAAUUCCAUGUGUAGCGGUGAAAUGCGUAGAGAUAUGGAGGAACACCAGUGGCGAAGGCGACUUUCUGGUCUGUAACUGACACUGAGGCGCGCAAGCGUGGGGAGCACACAGGAUUAGAUACCCUGGUAGUCCACGCCGUAAACGAUGAGUGC